rnacentral:lncRNA from 1 species
GGAAAAGGAAGAGAAGUCACUAUUCUUUGGAGGGAACUGCAGCCAGAUUCAUGAACAGAAGAGUGGCUCACAGUAACUUCUUGGUGAGUCCUAGAGAAUUACUUGGUUCACUGCUGACAACAAAGAGAUACAAACUUCUCAGGAAUUUUUAAGAAUAGAAACAGUGUUCCAGAGAGCUCUCCAAACUUUCUGCUCCUCAGAAGUGUAAAAUGAAGUACUUAACAAAGUACCUUAGCUGCAUUCACGGAAUCGGGUAAUGAGAAAAGAGGAGAUCUCUCCAGCAAGAUUUGUGGGGCUUAGCAUUCCAUGUUCUCCCAACAUCUUUCAUCACUAAAGCUCUGGAGAAGAAAAACAUAUCAGGAAGAUUCCAAGUACUUGCCACUCUCUGGGUGAGAUUAACUACCUUGAGGAACAUGAAGAAGACAUCUUUCGCAAUAUUUUUUUCCUACAGUUUUGAAGGGCAGG